UACGAAGGGGGCUAGCGUUGCUCGGAAUCACUGGGCGUAAAGCGCACGUAGGCGGAUCUUUAAGUCAGGGGUGAAAUCCUGGAGCUCAACUCCAGAACUGCCUUUGAUACUGGGGAUCUCGAGUCCGGGAGAGGUGAGUGGAACUCCGAGUGUAGAGGUGAAAUUCGUAGAUAUUCGGGAAGAACACCAGUGGCGAAGGCGGCUCACUGGCCCGGUACUGACGCUGAGGUGCGAAAGCGUGGGGAGCAAACAGG
rnacentral:rRNA from 1 species